rnacentral:rRNA from 1 species
UACGAAGGGGGCUAGCGUUGCUCGGAAUCACUGGGCGUAAAGGGCGCGUAGGCGGCGUUUUAAGUCGGGGGUGAAAGCCUGUGGCUCAACCACAGAAUGGCCUUCGAUACUGGGACGCUUGAGUAUGGUAGAGGUUGGUGGAACUGCGAGUGUAGAGGUGAAAUUCGUAGAUAUUGGGAAGAACACCGGUGGCGAAGGCGGCUCUCUGGACCGUAACUGACGCUGAGGCGCGAAAGCGUGGGGAGCAAACAGG